UACAGAGGGUGCAAGCGUUGUUCGGAAUUACUGGGCGUAAAGCGCGUGUAGGUGGCGACGUAAGUCGGGUGUGAAAUCCCUUGGCUCAACCAAGGAAGUGCACUCGAUACUGUGUCGCUUGAGUACUGGAGGGGGUGGCGGAAUUCCCGGUGUAGAGGUGAAAUUCGUAGAUAUCGGGAGGAACACCUGUGGCGAAGGCGGCCACCUGGACAGUCACUGACACUGAGACGCGAAAGCGUGGGUAGCAAACAGG
rnacentral:rRNA from 1 species